rnacentral:rRNA from 1 species
GACGAACGCUGGCGGCGGGCUUAACACAUGCAAGUCGAACGGAAAGGCCCUGCUUGUGUGGGGUGCUCGAGUGGCGAACGGGUGAGUAACACGUGAGUAACCUGCCCUUGACUUUGGGAUAACUUCAGGAAACUGGGGCUAAUACCGGAUAGGAGCUCCUGCUGCAUGGUGGGGGUUGGAACGUUUCGGCGGGUGGGGAUGGACUCGCGGCUUAUCAGCUUGUUGGUGGGGUAGUGGCUUACCAAGGCUUUGACGGGUAGCCGGCCUGAGAGGGUGACCGGCCACAUUGGGACUGAGAUACGGACCAGACUCCUACGGGAGGCAGCAGUGGGGAAUAUUGCACAAUGGGCGGAAGCCUGAGGCAGCAACGCCGCGGGCGGGAUGACGGCCUUCGGGUUGUAAACCGCUUUCGCCUGUGACGAAGCGUGAGUGACGGUAAUGGGUAAAGAAGCACCGGCUAACUACGUG